rnacentral:rRNA from 1 species
GUCUGUAUGAUAAUCAAUAUAAAGUCUGACCUGCCCACUGAAAUUUAUUUGAAGGGCCGCGGUAAUUUGACCGUGCGAAGGUAGCAUAAUCAGUAGUCUUUUAAUUGGAGGCUGGAAUGAACGGUUGGACAAGGGGUUAACUGUCUCUUUUAUUUAUUUUGAAGUUUACCUUUAAGUGAAAAGGCUUAAAUGUAAUUGGGGGACGAUAAGACCCUAUAAAACUUUACAGUCUAACUUAUAUUCUGUGAAAUAAUGUUUAAUAUUGACUAUGGGGGCUCUGUUGUGUUGGGGCGACAAAGAUAUAAUAAAGUAACUGUUAAAUAUAUAACAUAAUUAUAAUUAGUUAAUUGAUCCUCUAUUAAAGAUUAAAAGAUUAAGUUACUUUAGGGAUAACAGCGUGAUUUUCUCUGAGAGUCCUUAUCGACGAGAGUAGUUGCGACCUCGAUGUUGAAUUAAGAUUUCUUUUAAAUGUAGCAGUUUAAUCAGUGGGUCUGUUCGACCUUUAAAAUCUUACAUGAUUUGAGUUCAAGCCGGCGUGAG